rnacentral:rRNA from 1 species
UGGGGAAUAUUGCGCAAUGGGGGAAACCCUGACGCAGCGACGCCGCGUGAGCGAUGAAGGCCUUAGGGUUGUAAAGCUCUGUUUUAAGGGACGAAUGUUACGGGGAGUAAUAUGCCCUGUAAUGACGGUACCUUAAGAGGAAGCCCCGGCUAACUACGUGCCAGCAGCCGCGGUAAGACGUAGGGGGCGAGCGUUGUCCGGAAUUACUGGGCGUAAAGAACACGUAGGCGGGACUUUAAGUCAGGUGUGAAAGACCGGGGCUCAACCUCGGGGUGGCACUUGAAACUGGGGUUCUUGAGGGCAGGAGAGGAAAGUAGAAUUCCUGGUGUAGCGGUGAAAUGCGUAGAAAUCAGGAGGAAUACCAGUGGCGAAGGCGACUUUCUGGACUGACCCUGACGCUGAGGUGCGAAAGCGUGGGUAGCAAACAG